CACAUUUGGAUGUUGAGAACAUCAGCACAUACCUAAUAAUUCCAUUAAAGAGUGAUGCUUUAAGUGAAACAUUGUCUUGGGAAAAUAAGGCUUUCUCACACUCCUACCCACUCUACCAGCUUACUGCAUGUUUUCAUCAGCCAUGUCUUCAGAGAAAACAGGUUGACAGAUGUAAAGACUGACUGGAUUUCCAUAUGAAGUGAGUGACUUCUGUAAUUUUCCUUGGACUUAGCCCUGGACUUAGCUACGAU
rnacentral:lncRNA from 1 species